UCCUAAAGGCCAAUGUAGCGGGGGCGC
rnacentral:piRNA from 1 species